GGGGCGCUGCGGGGCCGGCCGGCCGCGGCGCGGAGGAAGUGCCGUCUUCCCAACGCCUCAGCCGCCUCAGGCACGCCGCGGGGGCCGCCUCAGCCGCGCGGGCCGCGAUGUCUUCCCGGCCGCGGCGCGACGACGCGGGGGCCGGGGGCGUGCGGCGGCCGCGGGAGCCGGCCGAGCAGGAGCUGCAGCGGCGCCGGGAGCAGAAGCGGCGGCGGCACGACGCGCAGCAGCUGCAGCAGCUCAAGCACCUGGAGUCCUUUUAUGAAAAACCUCCUCCUGGGCUUAUCAAGGAAGAUGAGACUAAGCCAGAAGACUGUAUACCAGAUGUACCAGGCAACGAACAUGCCAGGGAAUUUCUGGCUCACGCACCAACGAAAGGACUCUGGAUGCCACUGGGGAAAGAAGUCAAAGUUAUGCAGUGUGAGCACGGGAGAGUCGCAAGUUGGCGUUGUAAACGGUAUGGUCACCGAACAGGCGACAAAGAAUGCCCUUUCUUUAUCAAAGGCAACCAAAAGUUAGAACAGUUCAGAGUAGCACAUGAAGAUCCCAUGUAUGACAUCAUACGAGAGAAUAAAAGACAUGAAAAGGAUGUAAGGAUACAGCAGUUGAAACAGUUACUGGAGGAUUCUACCUCCGAUGAGGAUGGAAGCAGCUCCAGUUCCUCAGAAUGUAAAGAGAAACACAAGAAAAAGAAGAAGAAAGAAAAGCAUAAGAAAAGGAAGAAAGAAAAGAAGAAGAAGAAGAAACGAAAGCAUAAGUCUUCCAAGUCGAAUGAGAGUUCAGACUCGGACUGACAACAACUUGACUUGUUCAACAUUCUCUUCUCCCAAAUCAGACACUGUGGCCAAAGACCAGAGGAUGUGGAAUCGGGGAGGACUAGGAGAGAGCCGCCUAGAGAGCAGGGUAUUUGGUGUCACGUGUGUGAAUUCUCACCUGCCUUCCAGCAAAGAUGUGAUCCCAGGAGGGCCAAUCUCCACCUGUGCCCUGGACCCCAACUCUCAGCCAGCAGUGGAGGGCAUUGAUUAAGAGCACUGGCUCUGGAGGAUCCACACUGCCUGGUUUUGAAAUCCAGCUGCACCAUUCGUGAGCUAUCAGAUUGUGCAAGUUGCCUGACCUCUCUGUGCUGCCAUUUCCUUGACAGAUAAUAUUUACCUCAUAGAAUCAUCGAGAAUUAAGUGUCCUGAUAGUUGUAAAACAUCUAGAACACAGUUUGGAACAUUUCAAUUGCUAAAUGAACGUUAGUUGCUCCUGCUCUUACUUAUGCUAUCAUCAUUAUCUGUUCCUGCUUCCUCAGGGAUCUUCCUCCUUUCAUUAUCCUACUGCAUUCUCUGUUGCCACUGGCAUUUAAAAACUGUUUUGAAAUUAUAAAAGUAGGGGCACCUGGCUGGCUGAGUCAGUAGAACAUGCAACUCUUGAUCCCAGGGUUGUGAGUUCAAGCCCCAUGUUGGGCAUGGAGCCUUCUUAAAAAAAAUUUUUGUUUCAGUAAAAUUUUAAAAUACAUGAUCAUAAAAAGUUCCCAAUUCAGAGCAAUUACAGAGUAAAAAGUGAAAGGAAAAUCUACUUUAAAUGGUUUUAUAGAGCCGUCAAGAUCUUUUAAAAAAUACAUUACCAGUUUUUUUAAUUAGUUUGACAUAACUGAAAAACACUAUGAAUACUAUUCUAUGACUUCAUCUCCCUUACUCUAUCUUGGCAGUCUUACUGCUUACUACAAGCUUUAAAUGGCCACAAAAUCCUUGGUGGGAAUGUGCUACUUAACCAUUUAACCAUUCUUCUUUGUGCAAUUCAGUUGUUUCUUAUUUAUCCUUCUAUGGAAUGGUGAUUUAUGAAAAAUAUGUAUGGGGUUGGUUGUUGUGGAGGGAGAACGUUCUCUGCCCUUCAAGGUCCUUCUGGCUGGACUAAGAAUCAAAUUGACAUGAAACAGAAUAACAAGAGAAAAUCAAAGUUUCCUACGUAUGAAAUUCCAAAGACAGUGAAGCAAUAAGACGCUUAUAUGAGCUAAGGACAGGAGUAGGGGACUGAGCAAGACAUUAGCAGGGAGAGGAGAGAUGCUUGGAAAACAAAGGCUGCCCUAUUAUGCAAAUAAGUAUCUUAGAUAAAGAGGAAUCUGUUAAUAGCGCUCUUCCUGGUACAGGCAGGCAGUUGAGGGGGAGAUAAAGAGCUUUUCCUCAAUCGGUUGGGUUUUUAUUGCUUUUAACUCAACAUUCAUGUCAAAGUGACCCAUCUGAAGCAACCUGCCCUUAGCCCCCUACAUGGUCAUUCAGAUGACCAAAAUAUAUUUCUCGUAUACGUUUGGUCUUUAUCCACAGUUUCUGGAUCACAUCUCCCCAAAACACUUGGAAUUUCAUGACUGAGGAGAGCAAUGGAAGAAUUUUUUUUUUUUUUAAUAUUUGGUCUCCUGUUCCUGGUUCCUGAAAUCACUUCAGAGCCAUAAAGGCAAAAUGGGUGUUUUGUUACUCAUAACAAGCCCCUUUCCACCACAACUGGGUUUAUGUUAAUGAGGUGAAUUUUGGAAAACACCUAAGGAUGUAUAACAUCAGGAAUUUUCAGUCCCACACCCCUGAUUUCAGGGGAGGGUAAAAGGGCAGGAGAGUGAAUGAAUCACCAAUAGGCAAUCAUGCCCAUGUAAUAUGGAGCCUCUAGUAUAUUUGGAGAGCUUCCAGAAGGGUGAACACAUGGAAGUCUUGGAAGAGUGGCACACCAGAACAGGGCAUAGAAGCUCCUCACCCCUCCGCACAUACAAGCAGCUGUUAUGUCUGGCUGUUCCUGAGUUUUACUUUUAUAGUAAGUAAAAUGUGUGUAUUCUCUGAGCUGCUCUAAGCAAAUUAAUCAAACCCAAAGCAGGGGGCAUUGGAACAUUCAACCUAGUCUAUCAGAAUCAUACAUAAGUGAUAACCUGGGCUUUUGAGUGGCAUUUGAAGAGGGGUGGGGCAAUCUUGUAGGACUGAGCCCCUUACCUGUGGAAUUUGAUACUCUCUCCAGGUAUUUAGUAUCAGAAUUAAGUUAAAUUGUAGGACACCCUGCUGGUGUCCUGAGAAUUCCCACAUACACGUUGGAAUUGGUUCCAAAAUCUUCCAUCUUCCCACAAACACUGUAAUGAAAACCUAUGAGUAAAUAUCUUAGUGUACAUGUGUGCGUAUUUCAAAAGAAUAGCUCUUUAAUAGUGGAAUUACAUAUUUUAAUUUUCACAUAUACUACCAAAUUGCCCUCCAAGAAAGUCUGUAUCAAUUUUCACAACCUCUUACCUUGUUUAAAGGGGUCCAUUUCCCUGCCCAAGAGCAACUAAUAACCUCAAGAUUCUUUCAUCCCUUUAAAAAACAAAAUCCUCCCUUGAUCCCGUAUCUGUCUAGCUCUUUCCUCUCCUUUACAGCAGGAAUUUUGUUUUGUUUUGGGUUUUUUCUUUUAAGAUUUUUUUUUAAAGAUUUUUUUGGUGGGGGGAAUGAGUCGGGGGCGGGGGGCAGAGGGAGAGAACCUUCAAGCAGACUUCCUGCCAAGCGUGGAGCCCGACUUGGGGCUCAAUCCCAUGAGUCACAAGAUCAUGACCUGAGGAAAAACCAAGCAUCAGACACUCAACCCACUAAGCUACCCAGGAGUCCCUUACAGAUUUUAUUUUUAAAGAUUUUUUUUUUUUAUUUGACAGAGAGAGACACAGCGAGAGAGGGAACACAAGCAGGGGGAGCCGGAGAGGGAGAAGCAGGCUUCCCGCUGAGCAGGGAGCCCAAUGUGGGAUUCGAUCCCAGGACAAUGGGAUCAUGACCUGAGCCAAAGGCAGACGCUUAACGACCGAGCCACCCAGGCGCCCCAAAGAUUUUAUUUUUAAAGUAAUCUCUACACCCAACGUGGGGCUCAAACUUACAACCCCAAGAUCAAGCACUGCAUGUUCUACCCACUAAGCCAGCCAGACACCCACAGCAGGGUUUUUGAACCUUGGCCCUAUUUAUUUCAGGGGCUAAAUCUCACUUGUGGGGGUCUCUUCUGUGCAUUGUAGGAUAUUCAGCAUCAUCCCUAGCCUCUACCCACUAGAUGCCACUAGCACCACCACUCCUCACUUGUGACAACCAAAAAUAUCGACAUACAAAGGAAUAAAACUGGAACCUUAUCUUAUACCACACACAAAAAUCAACUCAAAAUGGAGUAAAUAUUUAAAUGUUAAGACCUGAGGGGCACCUGGCUGACUCAGCUGGUAGAGCAUGUGACGCUUGAUCUCAGGGUCAUGAGUUCAAGCCCCAUAUUGGUCGUAGAGUUUACUUAAAAAAAAUAAUAGUAAUAAUAAAAAAUAGAUAGACAGAUAAUGUUAAGACCUGAAGCUACAAAACUCCUAUAAGAAAACAUAGGAAAAAGCUUCUUGACAUUAGUCUUGACACUGAGGUCUUGGCUAUGACACCAACACAUCAAACUAAGAAAGCUUUUGCACAGCAAAGGAACAAUCAAAAUGAAAAGGCAACCUAUGGAAUGGGAGAAAAUAUUUACAAGCCAUAUAUCUCUGAUAAAGGGUUAUUAUACAAAAUAUAUAAAGAACUCCUACAACUCAAUAGCAAGAAAACAAGCUGAUUUUAAAAACAGACAAAGGAAUUGAACAGACAUUUCUCCAAAGAAUAACCAUCAAGUACCUUAAAAAAAAAUAACUGAUGAGGGAAAUGAAAUGCAAAUCAAAAGCACAAUAAGAUAUUAUCUCAUACUUGUUAGGAUAGCUAUUACGAAAAAAAGAUAAUAAAAGUUGGUGAGGGGGCGCCUGGGUGGCUCAGUUGGUUGAGCGACUGCCUUCGGCUCAGGUCAUGAUCCUGGAGUCCCCAGAUUGAGUCCCGCAUCAGGCUUCCUGCUCAGCAGGGAGUCUGCUUCUCCCUCUGACCCUCCUCCCUCUCAUAUGCUCUCUCUCUCUCAUUCUCACUCUCUCAAAUAAAUAAAUAAAAUCUUUAAAAAAAAAAAAAGUUGGUGAGGAUGUGAUGAAAAGAGAACCUUGUACACUGUUGGUGGCAAUGUAAAUAGGUUGAAGUUGCUACCAAAAACAGUAUGGCAGUUCCUCAAAAACUUAAAAAUAUAAUUACUUUUUUUACUAACCCCAAGUCUAAGUAUAUAUCCAAAGGUAUUAGAAUCAGGAUCUUAAAGAGGUACUGCACUCCCAUGUUUAUUGCAGCAUGAUUCACAAUAGCCAAGACAUGCAGACAAUGAAAAUGUCCAUCAUCAGAUAAAUGGGUAAACACAAUGUAGUAUUAUUUAGCCAUAAAAGAGAGGGAAGUCCUACAGUUUGUGACAACACGGAUGAAAGAGGAGGACUUUAUGCUCACUGAAAUAAGCCAGACACAGAGGACAAAUACUACAUAACACCACCUGAAUCUAAAAUAAUCAAACCUGGGCGCCUGGGUGGCUCAGUUGGUUAGGCGACUGCCUUCGGCUCAGGUCAUGAUCCUGGAGUCCCGGGAUCGAGUCCCACAUCAGGCUCCCUGCUCAGCGGGGAGUCUGCUUCUCCCUCUGACUCUCCCCACUCUCAUGCUCUCUAUCUCAUUCUCUCUCUCAAAUUAAAAAAAAAAAUCUUAAAAUAAAAUAGUCAAACCCACAGAAACAAGAGGGUAGAAUGGUGGUUCCCAGGGGCUAGGGUGAGGGGGAAACAAGAAGGUAUCAAAGAGUAAAACGUUUUACUUAUAUAAGAUAAAUAAAUCCUAGAAAUUGACUUCAUAGCAUAGUGCCAACAAUUAAUAAUACUAUAUCAUAUACUUAAUAUUUUAUGAAGAUCUUAUGUCCUCUCUCUAUAUAUAAUUUUAUAUAGAGUUUUACAUAUAUAUAAAUAUAGAGAGAGAGUUAUAUAUAGAGAGAGAGAGAGAGAGAAAGGGAGGGAGGGAAAGAGAGCAUGCAUGCAUGCAGGAACAAACGUUUAAAGGUUUAUGGCAUAGAUUGUGGGGAAUAUUUUCACAGAUAUAUACUUAUCUCCAAAUUCAUCAAGUUGUACACAAUGUGCAGCAAUCAUACCUCAAUAAAAUGGCUUAAUAAUAAGAUAAAUAAAAUGUAUGGAAACAGCCUCAGUUGGGGGUCACUACUUGAGCAGUUUCUUGAAAGAAUUACCCAUACAGUUGACCCUUGUCAGCAUGGGUUUGAAUUCUGUGGGUCACUUACACGCAGAUUUUUUUUCUACAAAUACAGUAAAUGUAUUUUCUCUUAUGAUUUUCUUAACACUUUUUCUUUAACUUACUUUAUUGCAAGAAUACAGUAUAUAAUACAACAUACAAAAUGCGUGUUAACCAAUUAUGUUACCUGUUUAGGCUUCCAGUCAACAGUAGGCUAUUAGAAAUUUGGGGGUGGGGGAGUCAAGUUAUACUCAGAUUUUUACAAAGGGUGGCUUUCCUCUAUGCCCACACAGAGCACUCUGUUCUCUCUUGCUCUUUUGUAAGAACAGUUCUUUUGAAUCAGGCACCCAGUCUUAUGGUCUCAUUUAACUUUAAUUACUCCUUUAAAGUCCUGUUCUCCAAAUGUAGUCACACUGGGUGUUAGGACUUCAACAUAUGAAGCUUGGGGCAUAAUUCAGUCCAUAACAUCUCUGAAAGUGCUCUUGCUAGGACCACCAGUAUUGCCAUUAUCAAAUCUAACAAAUCCUUUCUAGUCCUUUUUUUAGCAUUUGACACUGUUGACCACUUUUUCAUGAAAGAUCCUUAGCAACUGGAUUUCAUGACACCCUUUCAGAUGCUCUAACCAAACUAUCUCAUUAGCUGCUCCUGCUUACCCUCCAGUGUAACUCUUGGCUUCAGUCCUUUAAAUAGGAAUGUUUCUCACAGUUCUGGCUUAGACCUUCUCUUCACUCUUCUGUUCUCAGUGAUGCUUAUGGCUUAAAGUAUCAAUACUCUGAUGAUGACAGCCCUGAACAUUCUCGAGAGCCCUAGACUUAUUCACUUCGAUGUCCUGUAGACAUUCCACCAUUCUAUCGGCUCUCAAGCAAGAUACCUUCAGCAUUUUUUUACUCUAAAGAUGGUGCCAACAGUCACCUCAAUUCUGAAUCAGAAGCCUAGCCCAAUCCCAGAAUCUCUCAGCUGCUCCUCCUGUGUGCUUCUCAAUACCAAGGCACCUAGCACACUCUAAAGUGACUAUUUCCUUGCCUGACUGCCCACUAAUCUGGUAACUUCUUGAGGGCUCAGACUAUGCUCCCUGUUAUAUCCUCAGCCUCCAAAACACUGAAUGACAUAUUAGUAUUCAAUAUAAUCUUACUGAAUGGAUAGAUUCUCCAUUGGAAGUACCAGUGCAUACCAGUGGAUACCAUACUGCACCGCUUGUGUCCACCCACUCAUGAACCGCAGGCCCAACCCCACACGUGGUGUUAGAUGGAGGAGGGACAGUAAAUUACCCCUCCAAUUGAGAAGGUACUUUGAAACCAGAAAACAAAGCAAGCAACUCCCUACAGUUUACAAUUUUCUUUAGGGUAACUCACUGACAGGGAAUCAGAUGGUUUACGAUCCAGGCAUCCACACAACUAUUACCCAUAAAGUCCAGAACCUUAGUCCCCAGAUUUUAUAGAGCAAGGGGAUACAGAGGACAUUGUGAUGAGGUCAAAGGCUCUAACACACGUGUAGCAGAACUCAGAACGCAAUCUGUACGUGGUGGGGUGGGGGUGGGCAUAGAAAACUGUUAUCUCUAGUAGUUAUUUAAAAAAUUAACUACAUAGGGGCACCUGAGUGGCUCAGCUGGUUAAGCGUCUGCCUUUGACUCAGGUCAUGAUCCCAGGGUCCUGGGAUCGAGUCCUGCAUCAGGAUCCCUGCUCAGCGGGGAGCCUGCUUCUCCCUCUCCCGCUCCCGCUCCCCCAGCUUGUGGUCGUACGCGCGCUCUCUCUGUCCAAAUAAAUAAAAUCUUUUUUAAAAAAAUUAACUACAUAAUGGGGAUAUACCAUAGAAGAUAUAGCAAUUAUCAUUAGCACAAAAAAUGUACACCAUGGUUCAAAGGUGCGACAAGUAUGCCUGCUUCAUGUGUCAUGUCAUGAAAAUGAAAACAGUACAUUGGGUAUAAGCAGAUAACCUUCUCCAGCCAUAGGUUACAUAGGAUACAGGCCAGAACUGGAGUUAAAGCAGUCCUGAGCUGGGAAUAAUGCAAAGUCAUACAUCUUUAUGUAAAACCGGCUUUGUAAUACUGUCUUCCUUGCCUCCACAGCAUUGCUAUCACAUUUUACAUUUCACUAUGCUAUCUACAGAAGUAUUAGGUUAGUAUAAGGAGUUACAAAUACAGGAAGUAUAUGUUCACACAGCUUAACAUAGAGACAACACUGCUGUUCCCAUACAUAUACUCAUAUAUGCCUCCAAAGAGGCAUUGUUGGUCACACAACAAUAAAAUCCCACAUCUGAAUGCUACCAUGCCUUUUUCUUUCAAAUAUAGGGAGUCUUCAGCCACAUAUAAAUCUUUUUGGUACCUAGUCAGAUUUAAACUCUACCAUUUAUUGAGACACUGUUGAUUACAAGUUGACCAUCUAGGUCUUAGGUUUUAAAAGCAUGAAAAAUGGUUUCCCUGGGGCGCCUGAAUGGCUCAGUUGGUUAAGUGUCUGCCUUUGGCUCAGGUCACGAUCCCAGGGUCCUGGGAUCGAGCCCUACAUCGGGCUCCCUGCUCAGCGGGAAGCCUGCUUCUCCCUCUCUCAUUCCCCCUGCUUGCGUUCCCUCUCUCACAGUCUCUCUGUCAAAUAAAUAAAUAAAAUCUUUAAAAAAAAAAGUUUCCCUAAAGUUUCCUUUGUUUCAAGGAGUACAAUGGGUGGAACUACAGAAGACACUACUACAGACUACUCCUGGAUGGAUCCAUCAGUGAAGCUACUCUAUGCCUGGUUUCCAUUUAUACAAAAUGAGUAAGGGCCGUGAUAGGAUGGAAAAAACAUCCUAUACACUGAUGGGAAAUGACAGCAGAGGCAACUGAGACUUUGAGAAGACUAAAGAUACAGCUUCCCGUUUCCCAGGCUGCAGAAGUAAACAGUGCAGUGGUGCCAGUAACACCAGAUGCAUUUCCGUCACACAAAUUCACGU